ACCUGGGAUACCUCAGUUGGUAGAGCAAGAGACUCUUAAUCUCAGGAUUAAGAGUUCAAGCCCCAUGUUGGGCA